AAUCAACGCUGGCGGCGUGCCUAACACAUGCAAGUCGAACGAGAAAGUGGAGCAAUCCACGAGUAAAGUGGCGACCGGGUGAGUAACACGUGACUAACCUACCUUCGAGUGGGGAAUAACCUCGGGAAACCGGGGCUAAUACCGCAUAACAUCGCGAGGUGAGAUUCCUUGUGAUCAAAGGAGCGAAACGCUUGAAGAGGGGGUCGCGGCUGAUUAGCUAGUUGGUGAGGUAACGGCNCACCAAGGCGAUGAUCAGUAUCCGGCCUGAGAGGGCGCACGGACACACUGGAACUGAAACACGGUCCAGACUCCUACGGGAGGCAGCAGUGGGGAAUUUUGCGCAAUGGGGGAAACCCUGACGCAGCAACGCCGCGUGGAGGAUGAAGUCUUUGGAUUGUAAACUCUUCGAUCGGGACGAUUAUGACGGUACCGGAAGAAGAGCACCGGCUAACUCUGU
rnacentral:rRNA from 1 species